rnacentral:lncRNA from 1 species
GUUGUUAUGGGUAAGAUAUAAAUUUAUUAGAGAUGUAAUAGGUGAAUUUAGUGUUAGUGAGUUUUGUACAAAGGGGUUGGAAAUGUUGAUUAGUUUUGAAGUAAUAAUUUAGAGGAAAGAAAGAAAUAAAAAGUAGGGUAAUGGGCUAAUCUGUAGAUUGUAACGAGUUGGAUGAACAAUUUGUUUAGCCCAUAUAUAAGUUAAUGAAGAAUGUACACAUUGGGUUGGUGUAGAAGGCUAAUGGUUAAGAAAUGAAAGAGAUAGAGUGAAGAAAGUAAUUUUAUAAAUGCAUGAAAAUUAAAAGGGAAAGGAAUAAAGAGAUAUGUGAAGGUUGGUGAUAGUCACAGGCAUGCAAGGACUAGUUUGUUG